rnacentral:rRNA from 1 species
GACGAACGCUGGCGGCGUGCCUAAUACAUGCAAGUAGAACGCUGAAGAGAGGAGCUUGCUCUUCUUGGAUGAGUUGCGAACGGGUGAGUAACGCGUAGGUAACCUGCCUUGUAGCGGGGGAUAACUAUUGGAAACGAUAGCUAAUACCGCAUAACAAUGGAUGACCCAUGUCAUUUAUUUGAAGGGGGCAAAUGCUCCACUACAAGAUGGACCUGCGUUGUAUUAGCUAGUAGGUGAGGUAACGGCUCACCUAGGCGACGAUACAUAGCCGACCUGAGAGGGUGAUCGGCCACACUGGGACUGAGACACGGCCCAGACUCCUACGGGAGGCAGCAGUAGGGAAUCUUCGGCAAUGGGGGCAACCCUGACCGAGCAACGCCGCGUGAGUGAAGAAGGUUUUCGGAUCGUAAAGCUCUGUUGUAAGUCAAGAACGAGUGUGAGAGUGGAAAGUUCACACUGUGACGGUAGCUUACCAGAAAGGGACGGCUAACUACGUG